rnacentral:rRNA from 1 species
CCUACGGGUGGCAGCAGUGGGGAAUCUUGCACAAUGGGGGAAACCCUGAUGCAGCGACGCCGCGUGAGUGCAGAAGUACUUCGUUAUGUCAAGCUCUAUCAGCCGGGAAGAAAAUGACGUUACCUGAGUAAGAAGCACCGGCUAACUACGUGCCAGCAGCCGCCGUAAUACGUAGGGGGCAAGCGUUAUCCGGCUUUACUGGGUGUAAAGGGAGCGUAGACGGCAGGGCAAGUCUGGAGUGAAAGGCGGGGGCGCAAACCCCGGACUGCUCUGGAAACUGGACGGCUGGAGUGCAGGAGAGGUAAGUGGAAUUCCUAGUGUAGCGGUGAAAUGCGUAGAUAUUAGGAGGAACACCAGUGGCGAAGGCGGCUUACUGGACUGUAACUGACGUUGAGGCUCGAAAGCGUGGGGAGCAAACAGGAUUAGAUACCCUAGUAGUC